UACGUAGGGGGCAAGCGUUGUCCGGAUUUAUUGGGCGUAAAGAGCGUGUAGGCGGUUUGGUAGGUCCGCUGUGAAAACUCGAGGCUCAACCUCGAGACGCCGGUGGAAACCAUCAGACUAGAGUCCGGAAGAGGAGAGUGGAAUUCCUGGUGUAGCGGUGAAAUGCGCAGAUACCAGGAAGAACACCCGUGGCUAAGGCGGCUCUCUAGUACGGUACUGACGCUGAGACGCGAAAGCGUGGGGAGCGAACAGG
rnacentral:rRNA from 1 species